rnacentral:misc_RNA from 1 species
GAUGAAGAACGCAGCGAAAUGCGAUAAGUAAUGUGAAUUGCAGAAUUCAGUGAAUCAUCGAAUCUUUGAACGCACAUUGCGCCCGCCAGUAUUCUGGCGAGCAUGCCUGUUCGAGCGUCAUUUCAACCAUCAAGCCCCAGGCUUGUGUUGGAGCCCUGCGGCUGCCGCAGCCUCCCAAAACCAGUGGCGGGCUCGCUAUCACACCGAGUGCAGUAGUUUACUCUUCGCUCAGGGCGUGUGGCGGGUGCUAGCCGUGAAACCCCCAACUUCUCAAGGUUGACCUCGGAUCAGGUAGGAAUACCCGCUGAACUUAAGCAUAUCAAUAAGCG